rnacentral:lncRNA from 1 species
UUUUUUUUUUUUUUUUAUGGCUGAGAUAUCACCUCACACCUGUCAGAAUGGUGAAAAUUAACAACACAGGACACAACUGGUGUUGGUGAGGAUGUGGACAAAGGGGAAUCCUUUUAACACUGUUGGUACAAAUGCAAACUGGUGCAGCGACUCUGGUAAACAGUAUAGACAUUCCUCAAAAAGUUAAAAAGAACGACUCAGCAACUGCAACUACUAAGUUUUUACUCAAAGGAUACAAAAAUACUAAUUCAAAGAGAUUCAUGCAAUAUUUGUAGCAGCAUUAUCAACACUCAGCAUAUAUUCUAAGAUUUAUCUAUGAAUAGGUAAUAUGUUACCUAUUCAUCAAGACUGUAUAACAUCAGCAUAAACAAAGACACACAGAUCAAUGAGACAGAAGAGAGAGUUGAGAAAGAGGUCCAUGCAUAAAUACUCCAUUGAUUUUUAUGGCAAAUUUGCUAAGGUAAUUCAAUGAGGAAAUGAAAAUCAUUUUAUUUUUUAAGAAGAUUUAUUUAUUUAUUUAUUUAUUUAUUUAUUUAUUUAUUUAUUCAUGAGAAACAGAGAGAGGCAGAGACAUAGGCAGAGGAAGAAACAGGCUCCCCCUCGGGCACCCUGAUGUGGGAUCUCGAAACUCCAGGAUCAUGACCUGAGCCGAAGGCAAAUGCUCAGCCGCUGAGCCACCCAGAUGUCCCUGAAAAUCAUUUUAAUAGUGACUCCGGCACAACCAAAUAUUCUUAUUGAAAAAAAAAUUGCCAUCAUCUUUCAUAGCAUAGAGAAGUAAACUCAAGAUGCAUCACAGAUGCAACUAUAAAAGUUAAAACAGUAAGACUUCUCAAAAAAAUAGAACUUCUUAAAAAAAUCAAGAUAACAUUAGCAAUGACUUUUAAUACAGUGUCUAAAGAGCACUAACUUUAAAAUAACUGGUAAAUGGAUUUAAUCAAAAGUAAAAUUCUCUGUUCUUCCAAGGACACUGCUAAGAAAAUGGUUGGGCGAAAAUAUUCAACUAUACAUAAUGUAAAAACACUUCCAAAGGAAGACAUAAAAAUUGUUAACACAUGAAAAAAUGUUCAGCAUCAUUAGUCAGCAGAGAAAUACAAGUUAAACCACAAUCACAUACCAUUACAUACUAAUUAAAAUGGUAAAGAUUAGAAGUCUGAGGGUACCAGAAGUCUGGGGGAUAGAGCAAUUGGAGCUCUCAUCCCUUGCUGAUGACUUUACAACCACUUUGCAAUACAUUUUUGGCAGUUUCUUACAAAAUUAAAUAGAGGCUUAUUCUAUGUCCAAUAAUCCUCCUCUUACCUAGCAGAAAUUAAAUACAUGUUCUACAAAACACCUGUAUAUGCAUGUCCAGUACAACUUUAUUCAUAAAACAGCCAAAAUACUGGAAACAUCCCAAAGAUUCUUUAACAGAUGGCUGAAAAAAACAAGUUUUGUUAGAAUCAUAUAAUGGAAUACUGCUCAGCAUAAAAAGGGAACAAACUACUGCUAUGAGCAACAACAUGGUUGAAUCUUAGGGGGAAGAAAUUACUGAGUGAACAAAGCAAGACUCCAAAGAAUACCAUUCGAUUGAAUUUAUAUGAAAUUCUAGAAUAGGCAAUAUUGUAUAGUGACAGAAAUCAAAUCAGUGGCUGCAUAAAGCAGAAAAGAGUAGUGCUAAGGCGCACAAGGAAAUUUGGGUGGUAUGGUAUUGUUCUAUAUCUUGAUAUAUGUGUAUACAUGUGUCAAAUCUCUUCAUACUGUUACACUUAUAAUGAAUGCAUUCCUGAUAUUAUAUGUAAAUUAUGCAUGAAUAAAGUUGAUUACAAAUCAUGAGUUCAUAUUAACAUUUUCCUUCAAAAUGGAAGAUUAUGAACUUUUAUUUGGCUUGUUUACUUGUAACUUUUUUCUCUUACAUUAACGUGACUAUUUUUGCUUUACCUUAUAUUAUAUAUCAAAUACAAUUAAAAUAAUUAUACCA